rnacentral:misc_RNA from 1 species
UACGUAGGUGGCAAGCGUUGCCCGGAAUUAUUGGGCGUAAAGGGCACGCAGGCGGUUCCUUAAGUCUGAUGUGAAGGCCCGUGGCUCAACCACGGAGGGCCAUAGGAAACUAGUGAACUUGAGAACUGAAGAGGAGAGUGGAAUUCCACGUGUAGCGGUGAAAUGCGUAGAUAUGUGGAGGAACACCAGUGGCGAAGGCGACUCCCUGGUCGGUUUCUGACGCUGAGGUGCGAAAGCGUGGGUAGCAACCAGG